rfam:Cricetulus griseus cell line CHO-K1, whole genome shotgun sequence.
ACCGCUGAGCCAUCUCUCCAGCCCAUAAUUAGGGUUUUUAAAAAAAGAGACACUUGGGCUGGAGAGAUGGCUCAGAGGU